rnacentral:rRNA from 1 species
AGCUCCAAUAGCGUAUAUUAAAGUUGUUGCGGUUAAAAAGCUCGUAGUUGGAUUUCUGUUGAGGAUGGCCGGUCCGCUCUAUGAGCGUGUAUCUGGUUCAGCCUUGGCAUCCUCUUGGGGAACGUAGCUACGCUUGAUUGCGCGGUGCGGUAUUCAAGACUUUUACUUUGAGGAAAUUAGAGUGUUCACGGCAGGCAUUCGCCUUGAAUAUAUUAGCAUGGAAUAAUAACAUAGGACCUUGGUUCUAUUUUGUUGGUUUCUAGAACUAAGGUAAUGAUUAAUAGGGAUAAUUGGGGGCAUUUGUAUUAACGCGUCAGAGGUGGAAUUCUUGGAUUGCGUUACGACAAACUACUGCGAAAGCAUUUGCCAAGGAUGUUUUCA